rnacentral:tRNA from 1 species
UUGUUAGUAGCACAGUGGUUAGCGCACAGCCCCGGAUAGGUUGAGACGCAGGUUCGAAUCCCGCCUGAGGUA